rnacentral:tRNA from 1 species
AAAAAUUUAGUUAAACUAUAACGUUAGCUUGUCAAGCUAGAAUUACCUGAAGGUAAUUUUUA